AGGUCGGAUUUGCUCCGCCCGUCCACCUUGACUCGAUCUGGAGGCCCAGUUUCCAGUGCCAAAAAGUGGAAAAACCUGCGUGGACAGUGGCCCAAAUUGCCGCGUGCCCAUUCGCAAGGCAAAUCUCUGACUUUGGCCAAUAUUCGAGUGCACCGUUAGACAGACGAUGGCGUUGCGGUCGAGGCUGCAGCUCCAAGCCACCCGGGCCAAAUUAAUUCAUGUUUUGGCCAGGCCGUCGAUAACUUUGGCCGCGCAUAUUCAUGCCAUCCAGCUGGGAUGCCUGGCUAGCUCCAUGGCAUCAUCCGAAAGGAAACUGGUUAUCUGGCUCGGGCCAAAAAAAAUGGGUCAAUCUCUUAGUAAGAACAAGUGUCAGGUUCUGUAGCAACCCACAAAAGAUGAAGUUUUCAGCGGGCGACGCAUUUCAACUCCUUUGUGCCCAGAGAAACUGGGGCAGGCGAUCUGUUCUAGUUCGAUUCUGGGGGAUUUAGCUGAAAAGCUGAAAUGUGCCACAGAUAGAUGAGCUCAUGGAGCACCAUUUACCGUAAACGGACUGGCUCCUGGCAUGCCAUAACCCAUUUGAGAUCGGACUUAGUCAAUCUCAAGUCGGCUGUCUGAUGCGGCCAGGUGCUGAACUGGAUUUGACAGCCAUUGGGACCACUUUAAAAGCAAUUCAAGAGAAGAUUACCCUCGUUGAAUAACAACUAACUUAUAGAAAUCGUCUCAUUACGAACACAAGUAGGUUGGGUAAUCUCUGAUGUGCU
ensembl:ncRNA lncRNA:CR45586 long non-coding RNA:CR45586